rnacentral:rRNA from 1 species
GAAGAACCUACCCUUAUGUGGGGGAUAGCUCGGGGAAACUCGAAUUAAUACCGCAUGUGGUUUUCAGUCACCUGACUGGGAUACCAAAGCUGGGGAUCCGCAAGGACCUGGCGCGUAGGGAGGGCUUCGCGGCCUAUCAGCUUGUUGGUGAGGUAACGGCUCACCAAGGCUAAGACGGGUAGCUGGUCUGAGAGGACGAUCAGCCACACUGGAACUGAGACACGGUCCAG